rnacentral:rRNA from 1 species
UGAUCCUGGCUCAGAUUGAACGCUGGCGGCAGGCCUAACACAUGCAAGUCGAGCGGAAACGAGUUGUCUGAACCUUCGGGGAACGAUAACGGCGUCGAGCGGCGGACGGGUGAGUAAUGCCUGGGAACUUGCCCUGAUGUGGGGGAUAACCAUUGGAAACGAUGGCUAAUACCGCAUAAUAGCUUCGGCUCAAAGAGGGGGACCUUCGGGCCUCUCGCGUCAGGAUAUGCCCAGGUGGGAUUAGCUAGUUGGUGAGGUAAUGGCUCACCAAGGCGACGAUCCCUAGCUGGUCUGAGAGGAUGAUCAGCCACACUGGAACUGAGACACGGUCCAGACUCCUACGGGAGGCAGCAGUGGGGAAUAUUGCACAAUGGGCGCAAGCCUGAUGCAGCCAUGCCGCGUGUAUGAAGAAGGCCUUCGGGUUGUAAAGUACUUUCAGCAGUGAGGAAGGUGGUAGUGUUAAUAGCACUAUCAUUUGACGUUAGCUGCAGAAGAAGCACCGGCUAACUCCGUGCCAGCAGCCGCGGUAAUACGGAGGGUGCGAGCGUUAAUCGGAAUUACUGGGCGUAAAGCGCAUGCAGGUGGUUUGUUAAGUCAGAUGUGAAAGCCCGGGGCUCAACCUCGGAAUAGCAUUUGAAACUGGCAGACUAGAGUACUGUAGAGGGGGGUAGAAUUUCAGGUGUAGCGGUGAAAUGCGUAGAGAUCUGAAGGAAUACCGGUGGCGAAGGCGGCCCCCUGGACAG